AUUGAACGCUGGCGGCAGGCUUAAUACAUGCAAGUCGAGCGAGCGGCGGACGGGUGAGUAAUGUCUGGGAAACUGCCUGAUGGAGGGGGAUAACUACUGGAAACGGUAGCUAAUACCGCAUACCAUCAGAUGAACCCAUAUGGGAUUAGCUUGUAGGUGAGGUAACGGCUCACCUAGGCGACGAUCCCUAGCUGGUCUGAGAGGAUGAUCAGCCACACUGGGACUGAGACACGGCCCAGACUCCUACGGGAGGCAGCAGUGGGGAAUAUUGCACAAUGGGCGCAAGCCUGAUGCAGCCAUGCCGCGUGUAUGAAGAAGGCCUUCGGGUUGUAAAGUACUUUCAGUCGGGAGGCGUUACCGACAGAAGAAGCACCGGCUAACUCCGUGCCAGCAGCCGCGGUAAUUC
rnacentral:rRNA from 1 species